GCCUUAGCUCAGUUGCUUAGAGCAUAGUGCUGAGAACACCAUGGUUGCAGGUUCGAUCCCCACAUGGGGCA